rnacentral:rRNA from 1 species
UGGGGAAUAUUGCGCAAUGGGGGGAACCCUGACGCAGCCAUGCCGCGUGAAUGAAGAAGGCCUUCGGGUUGUAAAGUUCUUUCGGUAUUGAGGAAGGUUGAUGUGUUAAUAGCACGUCAAAUUGACGUUAAAUACAGAAGAAGCACCGGCUAACUCCGUGCCAGCAGCCGCGGUAAUACGGAGGGUGCGAGCGUUAAUCGGAAUAACUGGGCGUAAAGGGCACGCAGGCGGUUAUUUAAGUGAGGUGUGAAAGCCCUGGGCUUAACCUAGGAAUUGCAUUUCAGACUGGGUAACUAGAGUACUUUAGGGAGGGGUAGAAUUCCACGUGUAGCGGUGAAAUGCGUAGAGAUGUGGAGGAAUACCGAAGGCGAAGGCAGCCCCUUGGGAAUGUACUGACGCUCAUGUGCGAAAGCGUGGGGAGCAAACAGGAUUAGAUACCCUGGUAGUCCACGCUGUAAACGCUGUCGAUUUGGGGAUUGGGCUUAGAGCUUGGUGCCCGUAGCUAACGUGAUAAAUCGACCGCCUGGGGAGUACGGCCGCAAGGUUA